rnacentral:rRNA from 1 species
UGGGGAAUAUUGCACAAUGGAGGGAACUCUGAUGCAGCGACGCCGCGUGAACGAAGAAGGCUUUCGAGUCGUAAAGUUCUUCUAGAUGGGAAGAUAAUGACGGUACCAUAAGAAAAAGCCCCGGCUAACUACGUGCCAGCAGCCGCGGUAAUACGUAGGGGGCUAGCGUUGUCCGGAAUCACUGGGCGUAAAGGGUUCGCAGGCGGAAAUGCAAGUCAGGUGUAAAAGGCAGUAGCUUAACUACUGUAAGCAUUUGAAACUGCAUAUCUUGAGAAGAGUAGAGGUAAGUGGAAUUUCUAGUGUAGCGGUGAAAUGCGUAGAUAUUAAAAAGAAUACCGGUGGCGAAGGCGACUUACUGGGCUCAUUCUGACGCUGAGGAACGAAAGCGUGGGUAGCAAACAGG